CUGUAUUUGAAAGAUAAUGCCUACCUUCUCGUUUCCCCACCAAUUUGGAAGUAUACAAAGCAAGUUUCUUUGCAAGAAAACACGUCAGGGCCUCUUGGCCCUUUUGGCCCCAGCUAGGAACAAGGGUGUGCAGGCCCCAGAUUUAGCCUUGCUUUCCCCCACUCCCCGCCCAGCUUCCCAUUAACCAAGGUGUCCCGCCACUUUGUCAGGUACACACACGCGUUUCACCCCCCACUUUCUUCUUUCGAAAUCUUCCCGGCUGCAGAGAGAAGGGAGCAAAAGCAAAACGAAAGCACCCGGGCCGGCCGCAUCAGCUGGAGCAGCUUCCCAGAGCUCAGCCAGCCGGGGGUGACCAAGGUCUGGGGUCAGGAGGCAAGGGUGGGCGCCCCAACUUCGUGGAAACCGGGUUGUGAGUGGUAUGGGGAGGGCGCGGGAAAACUCCUCCUCUUGGGAAAAGUCAAGGGUAUGAUAAUAUAUAUCAACCCA